AUUGAACGCUGGCGGCAGGCCUAACACAUGCAAGUCGAGCGAGCGGCGGACGGGUGAGUAAUGUCUGGGAAACUGCCUGAUGGAGGGGGAUCACUACUGGAAACGGUAGCUAAUACCGCAUACCAUCAGAUGUGCCCAGAGGGGAUUAGCUAGUAGGUGGGGUAAAGGCUCACCUAGGCGAAGCUCCCCAGCUGGUCUGAGAGGAUGACCAGCCAAACUGGAACUGAGACACGGUCCAGACUCCGACGGGAGGCAGCAGUGGGGAAGAUUGCACAAUGGGCGCAAGCCUGAUGCAGCCAUGCCGCGUGGGUGAAUAAGGCCUGCGGGUUGUAAAGCACUUUCAGCGGGGAGGCGUUACCCGCAGAAGAAGCACCGGCUAACUCCGUGCCAGCAGCCGCGGUAAUAC
rnacentral:rRNA from 1 species